UCACGUCUGUCAGGCACACUGUAGGUGUCCACUCCCAUCGGUGGAGGGUUUGCAGCCCCCAAGCCCUGUCCUGUGACCCUUCCGGUGCUGGGCUGAGCCUGGGGAGGAGCCAGGGAGUGCAGCGGCACUGGCAAGCAGGACCACACCGCCAGGGCAUCUGGGGGCUCCAAACCAAGAGCCCCUCUCCAGCCCUGGCUGCCCCUGCAGGCCUGCUCACCAGCCGCCAGCUGCCCAUCUUCUGCCAGCUGAUCCUGAGAAUUGGGAACUUCCUCAACUACGAAGCGGAAAAGAGCCACCCCGACCUCCUGCAGCUGCCCCGGGACCUGGAGCAGCCCUCGCAAGCAGCAGGGAUCAACCUGGAGAUCAUCCGCUCAGAGGCCAGCUCCAACCUGAAGAAGCUUCUGGAGACCGAGCGGAAGGUGUCUGCCUCCGUGGCCGAGGUCCAGGAGCAGUACACCGAGCGCCUCCAGGCCAGCAUCUCGGCCUUCCGGGCACUGGACGAGCUGUUUGACGCCAUCGAGCAGAAGCAGCGGGAGCUGGCUGACUACCUGUGUGAGGACACCCAGCAGCUGUCCC
rnacentral:sRNA from 1 species